AUACGUAGGGAGCGAGCGUUGUCCGGAAUUACUGGGUGUAAAGGGUGCGUAGGCGGGACUGCAAGUCAGAUGUGAAAUGCCGGGGCUCAACCCCGGAGCUGCAUUUGAAACUGUGGUUCUUGAGUGAGGUAGAGGUAAGCGGAAUUCCUAGUGUAGCGGUGAAAUGCGUAGAUAUUAGGAGGAACAUCGGUGGCGAAGGCGGCUUACUGGGCCUUUACCGACGCUGAGGCACGAAAGCGUGGGGAGCAAACAGGAUUAGAUACCCUGGUAGUCCACGUUGUAAACGAUGAUGACUAGGUGUGGGGGGACUGAACCCUUCCGUGCCGCAGUUAACACAAUAAGUAUUCCGCCUGGGGAGUACGGCCGCAAGGUUGAAACUCAAAUGAAUUGACGGGG
rnacentral:rRNA from 1 species